rnacentral:rRNA from 1 species
CUACCAUGCAAGUCGGACGGUAGCACAGAGAACUUGGUCUUGUGUGAGACGAGUGGGACAGGUGAGUAAAGUGUGGGGAUCUGCCCCAUAUAGGGGGAUAUCCCCUGUGAACAGUGGGUAAUACCCCAUAACGUCUCACGACCCCAAAGAGGGACCUUCUCGCCUCUCACUAUCUGAUGAACCCCCAUGGGAUUAUCUAUUAUGCGGGGUAAUGGCCCCUGCGACAUACCUAUGGUGGAGAGGACCCCCCCCGGAACUGAGACACGGUCCCGACCUCGGAGGCCAUGGGGAAUAUUGCAAUGGGCGCAGCCUGAUGCACCUGCCCGUGUUGAAAAGCCUUCGGUUGUAAAGUACUUUCCGGGGAGAAAGCGACGGGUUAAUAACCCUGUCAUUGAUUCCCCAAAAACACCGGCUAACUCCGCCACCCGGUAUACGAGGGGCAGCGUUAUCAUUACUGGGGUAAAGCGCACGCGGGCUGUAAUCAAUUGAACCCGGGCUACUGGGAACGCUUUGAACUGAGCUGAGUCUGUAGGGGGUAAAUCAGUGUCGUGAAUCGUAGAGAUCUAGGAUACGGUGGCGAGCGSCCCCCUGACAAGACGACCUCGUGCGAAGCGUGGGGAGCAAACAGGAUUAGAUACCCUGGUAGUCCACGCCGUAAACGAUGUCGACUUGGAGGUUGUUCCCUUGAGGAGUGGCUUCCGGAGCUAACGCGUUAAGUCGACCGCCUGGGGAGUACGGCCGCAAGGUUAAAACUCAAAUGAAUUGACGGGGGCCCGCACAAGCGGUGGAGCAUGUGGUUUAAUUCGAUGCAACGCGAAGAACCUUACCUACUCUUGACAUCCACGGAAUUUGGCAGAGAUGCCUUAGUGCCUUCGGGAACCGUGAGACAGGUGCUGCAUGGCUGUCGUCAGCUCGUGUUGUGAAAUGUUGGGUUAAGUCCCGCAACGAGCGCAACCCUUAUCCUUUGUUGCCAGCGAUUCGGUCGGGAACUCAAAGGAGACUGCCGGUGAUAAACCGGAGGAAGGUGGGGAUGACGUCAAGUCAUCAUGGCCCUUACGAGUAGGGCUACACACGUGCUACAAUGGCGCAUACAAAGAGAAGCGACCUCGCGAGAGCAAGCGGACCUCACAAAGUGCGUCGUAGUCCGGAUCGGAGUCUGCAACUCGACUCCGUGAAGUCGGAAUCGCUAGUAAUCGUGGAUCAGAAUGCCACGGUGAAUACGUUCCCGGGCCUUGUACACACCGCCCGUCACACCAUGGGAGUGGGUUGCAAAAGAAGUAGGUAGCUUAACCUUCGGGAGGGCGCUACCACUU